AUUUCUAAAUUGCUGAAACCAUAUGGUAUGGGGGAACCAUUUUCGUGGGUUGAUAUACAAUCCAAGGGGUGAAUCCUUUAGAAGGUAGGGCUAUUAAAAAGGGCCGAAUCCGACAGCUAACCUAAGUAAGUGUAUAUGAAAAAGAAG
rnacentral:sRNA from 2 species